ACCGUUACAACAUGGAAUAACAGGAUAAACAUUCUGAAUAAAAAAUUUCCAAAUCAAGCAAUCAUUUGGUCCUCACACUUAAAAUCAGUUUUCAACUAGUUUUAAGAGACAGUUUCAAGCUAUUUAAAACCCCAUGCUCAAUAUGUGUGAUUGGCAAUUGAAAUCCUACAAAAUUAAUCAAUAAACAACUAGGAAUAUGAACUUUAACCUCAAACUGAGCAUGCUUACUAAGCAUCACACAAGUACAUCAACCCAAACUUACAAACCAUUACUCAGCAUUAUAACAAAUUCAAACGGAAAUAAAUGAUAAAGCAGAACUAGUUUUCCGUAGAAAUUAAACAAAGUCUAAAGACCAAAGUAAAUAAAUCGAAUCUUUUGCCUUGAUAACCUUUAAAUUCCAUUUAUACAAAACACCUAACUCAGAUUCAUGUACACCUCAAAUAGCUAAAGCAUUUUUUUUGUCUAAUAUUACAAACAAAAUUAAAGCUGAAACAGAACUAAGCAAACCACUAUGAGAACCAAAACUAACUAUGAAACUUGAAUAUUUUCAGAAAUGUAGGAAAAAAACAAACAUUUAAUAAACUGGUACUUUCUAUAUUUCAAAACUCAUGCAAACAACUUUGUGCUUCUCUAUUUCAUAUGUCAAGGAGAUAGGUAAUAUCUGGAAAAGAAAAAAGAAGUGCAGAAUCAGUAGAUAGCAAUAGCAGAAUAAACCCAACAACAGCAAUAAAACAGUACCCCCAUAUCCAAACCAGCUUGAACCAGCUUUAAAAAUCCUAAUACUCAAACCAUCUUCAACUCAAGUGGAGGAAUUUAUAAUUUUCAAGAAUUCUAGCUAGUGGGAAGAUCAAAAACCCAACAAAAGAUUUCCAACCAAGAAAUGUAAGAAACCUGGUAUCUCUUUUAGAGCCUGCCGUUUCAAAUUUUCAGAGGGCUUUAUCUCUAAUUUCUAACUUUAGUCUCAAGUAAUGACGCUUUUAUAGGCAAGCUAUUAGGGCAGCGUCAAGGGAUCGGUUUUCGCACUUUGAACCUUCUGGAAUUCUGGUUUUAGCAUACGUACCCUCAGUGUAAAAUUAAGAACUUCAGUUUAAUCCCCACCCCAACUUUCUAGAAGCUUCCUCAAUCAGUUAUUCAGAGAUUCCUCUACGUAGAGUUCCUAAACUACCCUUACAACCCCUAUUAUUUACCAUUUGAAACCAAAUGGGUAUGGGUCACAUUGGUCAAUGGUCAAACCAAACAUGGGCUCAAUUCUGACCUAGUACCCUAAACAAAUCCCUUGAAGUGAAGGCUGAAAUGGAUUGGAGCCCAAAGAAUAAAAUGAAUUGAACCAGAUUGAGCAAAUUAUGGCAAGCGGCAAGAAAACAACUAAACGAUUUCACAAAACUUAAAACCUAAACUAAGGUACUGGUUAAUGCAUAAUUAACCUAAAUUAUCACAUAAACCUAAUUAAGUUAAACUAAAUGGCUAAACAAAAAUGGUGAAAUCAUAAGUUAUCAUGUUGUUAACAAAAGAACUAAAUAGACCAAGAAAAAAUCAAAGAAUAAAAUUUGGAAAAGAAAAACUGAAAAUGAACAAACAAACUGGACUCUAGCUUGGCCAGAAACUUUGGGCAAAUUUUCAAUUGAAUUACCUGAAGGAAAAGAGAAGUAGAGAAGAGGAAAGAAUACUGAAAAAGCACAAGAAUAAACAAAUGGAAAGACAGAACUCACCGACUCAGGGUUGAACUUACGACUGACCUUCCGAUUUAAUCCCCCAAAUAAUGUCAAUUGCUUGUUCUUUGUCAAGCACAAGAGAAUAACGGUAUUUCGGGAUAAAAACCGGCCUUGAAUACUCAUGAAAAAUUGGAGAAAUAACCUUACAUGUGUCGAUUUGACUUUGGCUUCUAGGGAUCAAACCUUAGCUUUAAGAUUCGAGAAUUUCUAGAAAGUUUCGAGGGAAGUGGAGGGAGGAUUUGGAAUGAGGGGAUGAAGGGAGUUGUAAGGUAUUAUUUUUAGUCUGUUUGGGACCGUUGCCGUCACCGAAGAGUGGAGAAUUUAGGGGUGGCGCUAGAGUUUUGCUUGGUCGUCUCUCAAGAAAGGAUAUGAGAGAGAAAAUAU
rnacentral:lncRNA from 1 species